rnacentral:rRNA from 1 species
GAUGAACGCUGGCGGCGUGCCUAAUACAUGCAAGUCGAGCGAACGGACGAGAAGCUUACUUCUCUGAUGUUAGCGGCGGACGGGUGAGUAACACGUGGAUAACCUACCUAUAAGACUGGGAUAACUUCGGGAAACCGGAGCUAAUACCGGAUAAUAUUUUGAACCGCAUGGUUCAAAAGUGAAAGACGGUCUUGCUGUCACUUAUAGAUGGAUCCGCGCUGCAUUAGCUAGUUGGUAAGGUAACGGCUUACCAAGGCAACGAUGCAUAGCCGACCUGAGAGGGUGAUCGGCCACACUGGAACUGAGACACGGUCCAGACUCCUACGGGAGGCAGCAGUAGGGAAUCUUCCGCAAUGGGCGAAAGCCUGACGGAGCAACGCCGCGUGAGUGAUGAAGGUCUUCGGAUCGUAAAACUCUGUUAUUAGGGAAGAACUUAUGUGUAAGUAACUGUGCACAUCUUGACGGUACCUAAUCAGAAAGCCACGGCUAACUACGUG